rnacentral:lncRNA from 1 species
CGCAGGGUCACCAAAUGAGGAGAUGGAAAGGAACCUCAAAUUCAUAUCUUUGAGGAGUUUGGGGCUAGGGAUUUCAAGGGUGUUGGAGGAGGCCGAAGUGUUGAAUUGUUGAUGGGUUGAAGAGUGCAGGGUGAAGUCAUGGGACAGGGAGAAGAAACAGCUGUAUUCUCAUGCUGAUUCGGUUCCUCUGUGGGGGUCUUCAAACUGGUUGGCAUCAGUUGUCCUAAUGGAAUUCAGAAUCUCAGGUGAUUAUCAUUCAAAAGGUUUGGCAAAUAGGAUUAUCCAUUGCCUCAAGAGCCUUAGAAAUUCCUCUGGGAAGUAGAAGCUGAAAGAGGAAGGGUCACCAGCCAGGCUAAACUCUGGGCUUUAAUGGGGCUUCUUUGUGGCAGCUCUGAGCUCUGGGAACCAGGGCAACCAUGUGAGAAUUCCAGGUUUCAACUUGUAACCAACUUGACCACCUCUCUAAAUAAGUCUGAUUCUCAUUAACCACUAAGAGCUAAGAGUAGAGACUCUCUUCCUCAUGAACAUCAUCUAUCUGUCUGUGCAUCUGUUUGUUCAUCCAUCUGUCUACAUAUCUACUUUAUCUACUAUCUAAUCUUUUGAUGGGCUCUAGUGUCAGAAAUCUCUGUAUUUUUAUCUGUGCCUCUUGUUAGCUCUGGGACUUUGGGCAAAUUCAACUUCUCUGAGUUCCUCUUUUUACACCUUAAAAAUGGGCAUAAUAAUGUUACUACCUGCCUACCAAUCAUAGAAUUGUACCCAACAGCUCCAAAGAGACAGCGACCAUCGAGAACGGGCCAUGAUGACGAUGGGGGUUUUGUCGAAAAGAAACGGGGGAAAUGUGGGG